AUUUUGUGAUUCACAGAAUUACCGCGAGUUCUCAGUGAACUCUUAUUCUAUUCUGCAUAUUGUUUUAUCAUGUUGGAUUUUUAUACUUGUUUUAACACGUACAAUAUUGAAUCAUCUGAGAAAAACGCGUUCUCUACGCACUGGUUAUAUUGGACAUCGAAAUUAUUCUACAGAUAAUUGAUUUUCGUUUAUAACGUCAAGAAACUUCAAUAACAAUUCUUGAUCAUUUCAUCAUAUGGAUACGUUUAAUAAGGAAAUCAGUGUUUUAAAGUGAAACGUGAAUCAACAAAAUGGAAUCAUAUCUUAAUUGACGUCAUUUAACAAACAUAUUCUGCUAAUGAAACAUAUUAUGGAAAGAAACUGGAACACAUGGUGAUUUUUCAAAUUGUUUUAAACCGACUGAAAAAUAUAAAAAUUAGUGUGUUAUCGUAAUCAAAUUGGAGCAUGAUGGGAGAAGUGAUCCGAGUUUCUGGACGGGCGCCGGAUGUUGGAGAAUUUCUAAAGGAAGCGAUGCUGUCCCAAAGAUUUGCCGAUGUGACUCUCUGUUGUCCUGGUGGACAAAAAUUCUUGGCACAUCGUUUGGUUCUUUCAGCUGCCAGUCCUUAUUUACAGGAGGUGUUGCUCGCGCACAGCAAAACGUCCACCCAUUGCGAGCCCAUCACGGUGAUCCUUGCAGGGGUGGAGGCCCCGGAAUUGGCAGCGAUCCUCGGCUUCGUGUACACGGGAAGCGCGACGGUCCCUCGCCCUCGUCUCAACGCGUUCCUCCACGCCGCCGAGGCCCUCCACAUCGCGCUUCCGCCCGUCCCCCUCGUAAUGACUUGCGCGCAAUCCGAUUGCAAGCAGGAAGACAUCAAGGACGUGAAGAUCAACCCCAAGUACCUUCGGUGCGAUCAGUAUCCGUGCUGCGACCGUUGGUUGAACCGUCCCCGUUCUAUAAAUCAAGAUGAAGAUCCCGCGGCCAAACGGGAAUCCUAUCCGGCGAUCGAGUCCUUGGAAACCGCGAGAGAAAUCGGACCGCUUCCUGAAUCGAUGAACUUUGCCGGAUCGAGAUACGGGCCAAGUAAAUAUUGCUCUACAACCUCGUACUGGCCCGUUCCUCCUCCUUUCGCGAGCGUCGCGCGGGAAAAGACGGUUCACGGUGUAGAUCAGCAUUCGGAUAAGGAUAAGGGGAGGACGAGUCAGCCGGACGUCGCGCGGUAUCGUCCCAUCUCCGUGGUGGCGAGGAUCGAUAGGGUUGGCGACGUCCCGACUGGGAAUCGCCACUGGGAAAAUCAUUUUAACGGCUGUGAUUUUUCGGAGAAGGCUUUUCGACAGCGCGGCGAGUUGUUAUCCUUCUCGACGGGGACGACCUACGAUCCUCCUCGCGAUGGUGGAUCGGAACAGCCCGAGGCGAGGAUGAGAAGUGGCCGAAGUCCCCGUAUCGGGGACGAAGAAGACGCUCUGGGAAACGAUUUAUCCACGUAUGGUGAUUGUAAUUUGGAGCAAGGGAAGAUUGCCGAGGAUCGUCUUAGCGUGAUUCGUUCUCGGAUCGGCCCCGCUCAGAUUAGAACCGCGCCCAUAUCGGAAUCUACUAGAUCCUGCGAAAGGGCGGAUUUCGGCGAAGAUUUGACGUGUCGUGAGAGUUGUUUCGUCUGGAGAUCGCCGAGGAGACAAGUGGCAAACAGGGUGAUAGAUUCGCCGUGGAAACAGACUGUCAAGCCUUAUCAUUUGCCGAAAAUGCAGCCGAUGGCACUUCUUCAGCCUCACGUCGAGAACGUUAGAAGCGAGGAAAACCUACGUGUGUUGGAAACUACGCGAUCUUCUGUGAUCUCUAUCAGUCCUAAUCGACAGUUCUCUAAAAACUCUGCGGAUCAUUAUUACGGUGUUGAAGUUCCUACUACUCACGAAGUCACGUACCAUAAUGGUAGCAAAUUAUUGGAAGCAAAUUCUACCUUGGUAUCGAGGCCUCAAGAGUUUUAUUCCCCUCAAAUCCCUUCGUCGACGAUUACGCAAAUGGUUACAUCGAUAAACAAUGAUAUCAUAAACAAUGAGACGAUAUUACAAUCUCAAAAUAACGUAAUUUCUACAACGAGAACGUUGCCGUGUCCUAUGGAGAAUAGUCAGAUAAAUAUCAAUAAAAAGGGUGGCUAUUUCGGGCAAACGCUAUCUCAAUCGCCACAGAAGUUAGAAAUUUCUCAUCCUGUUAGCAGACUUUGCGAUACGAUCGAGUCGACCGGUAAAAUCGAUCGUUUUACAAACCUAGAAGUUGAGAACUCGGAGAAAGAGGCGAGAAUCGAUGAUAAGCUUGUUGAGAGAGUUAUUAUCAACAGUGAUAAGAACAAUAAUGAUGCCAUCGUUAGUCAGGAUGCUGUUCAACGGGGAAAAGGAGCACAGGAGAAUCAUAGGUGCGAUCAGUGUGGCAAGACUUUCGUUACCAAAGCCUCUCUAAAGGUGCACGUUAGAACGCAUUCAGGAGAAAAACCUUUUCGUUGUACCGACUGUGGUAAACAAUUUUCACAACUACGAAAUUACAAGUACCACCGAAGCGUGCAUGAGGGCACUAGAGAAUUCGCAGCGACCUGUCCAGAAUGCGGCAAAUAUUUCAACGACCGUGGCUAUCUAAGUUCCCAUAUGAAGAUUCAUCGUAACCGAAAAGAAUAUGGAUGCGCGGAAUGUGGUAAAAGUUUUAAUCAGCGAGUCGCUUACAAUAUGCAUGUUAGAAUCCAUACCGGAGUAAAACCGCAUCAAUGUGAACAAUGUGGAAAAGCAUUUUCUAGGAAAAUGUUGUUAAAACAACAUCUUAGAACGCAUUCCGGGGAACGGCCUUAUCAGUGUCAAGUUUGUCAAAAAGCUUUCGCCGAUAGAUCGAAUAUGACGUUACACACGAGAUUACAUUCUGGAUUAAAACCGUAUCAAUGUACGUUAUGUUCUAAAGCGUUCACGAAGAAACAUCAUCUAAAAACUCAUCUUAAUUAUCAUACAGGGACUAAACCUUAUUCUUGUCCAAAUUGUGGAUUAAGAUUUUCUCAAAGUAGUAAUAUGAGGACUCAUUUUAAAAAAUGUACCGUUAAUAAUCUGAUGGAAACGAACAGUUCACAAUUGGAAGGUAUUGUGAGAGACUCGUCUAAGACUGUACAAACGCGAAUAAUCUCGAGAACACCUACUGAUACGUUAACACCACCUAAUUCGGAUCAAGAAUUAAGUAUUUUAACACCGAUUUCUAAAAGUAAUGGAAUAGAAGGGAAUUGUAACGAUAACAUAAGAGAUGCUAUUAAACCGUCUAUGUGAUUGUUAAGUAUUCGAAGAGAUAUUUUAGCGGUUAGUUAGAUAAAGAAAUAACAAGUACAUAUAUUCUUCGACUCGAUGAAAUCAAUCUGUGUGACAAAUUGAAGAAAUGAAGUACACGUCGCGGUUAUGAAUCAGACUUGUAUCAUGAAAUUUAGAUUCUCUAUAGGAUUGACAAUCGCAAAAUGUGUAGCUGGUUUUUAUAAUCAACGGAGCAACCAUUGUACAAAGAUGCUUUUUGCCCGGUGUUUUCAAGAUAAGUGGUUAAAACGAUAAGUGCUUGACGAGGCAAUUCAAUGAAUAAAUCGAUCGAAUUGCUACAGCCUGCAAAUGUAAUCGAACGAUAGAAAGUAUUAGAUUCGUUUGAAAGUAGCACUGUCAAUUGGUAAUCCGAGAGUUACCAUAACAGUACGAACGACCGCCUUUUCCUAGAAAUCGUUGUUUUACGAUUGAUAAGUACUUUAACAAAUAUUUUUCAGCAGGAAAGAAUAAUUUUAAUUCCAUUAUCAAUCAAAGGUAACUUAAUACGGCUUAACCAUUUCCAUCCUGGAAUUAUCUUGAUAUACUCAUCUAGAAAAACUUUCUAGUCAAGAUCAAAGUAAAAGCAUCUGGAUAGAGGAUCCUUUUUAAAAAAACGGUUUCUUCGAGCUGUUCAAGAUCGUAUCGUAUCGAAGAUAGUUCUUCUACUCUCUCUUGAGGAACGGAAGUUUUGUAUACAUAUAUAUAUAUACGACUCUAAGCUACUAUCUCAUUGAAAACGUCUCGUUGCUCUGUAGUAUCUGACAGUUCCGUUUGCGGGACCUUUCGUGACCUUAUUUUAUGGAAAUAUUUAUGAACGACAUGAAAUUCUAGCGAUCUAAAGAGGCCAAGAGCGAAUUAAUAAACGAAAUCCGGUAAGAAUUUAUACUUUAUUUGAUUUAAAUAUAAGAGAUUUUAAUUCGGAGAUCGAAAUUAAUAUCUGGACUUGAAAGAUUAUAAUCACUCCAAUAUAUAAAAUGGCGAACGAAAAAAAAUCAAGAAAUCCUUUCCUUCUUGCAAUUAGGGAAUGUAUCUUUCUAUAAUCUCAAAAUAAUUAUUUUUUCUUUAGAAAUACAUAUAAAAUGAUACAUCAGAUAAGAAAAAUAUUUUAUCAGAUCUUGAAUUCGAAUCACCCAUGUCCACACAGUUUCGAAAUAUAAAAAUAUUUUUAAGAAUCGAAAAACC